GCAGUCGUACGAGUUCUCGUUGAUGAUCGGUGCUUGCACCGAGAUUCAACAUGGAACGAGUGGCGGACGGGUGAGUAACACGUGGGUAACCUGCCCUUAAGUGGGGGAUAACAUUUGGAAACAGAUGCUAAUACCGCAUAGAUCCAAGAACCGCAUGGUUCUUGGCUGAAAGAUGGCGUAAGCUAUCGCUUUUGGAUGGACCCGCGGCGUAUUAGCUAGUUGGUGAGGUAAUGGCUCACCAAGGCGAUGAUACGUAGCCGAACUGAGAGGUUGAUCGGCCACAUUGGGACUGAGACACGGCCCAAACUCCUACGGGAGGCAGCAGUAGGGAAUCUUCCACAAUGGACGCAAGUCUGAUGGAGCAACGCCGCGUGAGUGAAGAAGGCUUUCGGGUCGUAAAACUCUGUUGUUGGAGAAGAAUGGUCGGCAGAGUAACUGUUGUCGGCGUGACGGUAUCCAACCAGAAAGCCACGGCUAACUACGUGCCAGCAGCCGCGGUAAUACGUAGGUGGCAAGCGUUAUCCGGAUUUAUUGGGCGUAAAGCGAGCGCAGGCGGUUUUUUAAGUCUGAUGUGAAAGCCCUCGGCUUAACCGAGGAAGCGCAUCGGAAACUGGGAAACUUGAGUGCAGAAGAGGACAGUGGAACUCCAUGUGUAGCGGUGAAAUGCGUAGAUAUAUGGAAGAACACCAGUGGCGAAGGCGGCUGUCUGGUCUGUAACUGACGCUGAGGCUCGAAAGCAUGGGUAGCGAACAGGAUUAGAUACCCUGGUAGUCCAUGCCGUAAACGAUGAAUGCUAGGUGUUGGAGGGUUUCCGCCCUUCAGUGCCGCAGCUAACGCAUUAAGCAUUCCGCCUGGGGAGUACGACCGCAAGGUUGAAACUCAAAGGAAUUGACGGGGGCCCGCACAAGCGGUGGAGCAUGUGGUUUAAUUCGAAGCAACGCGAAGAACCUUACCAGGUCUUGACAUCUUUUGAUCACCUG
rnacentral:rRNA from 1 species